AAUAGUCUUUGGACUGGACCUGAUAAUUAUUGAUAUAAAAUAUAGAUAAUGACAAUACACAGUGAAAAGUAAUAGAUUAGCUAUAAUAUUAUAGGUAUUUGAAAUGGCUUUAUUAUUUAAAGCUAGUUUAAAUUGAAUUAGACUGGGUUUCUGAGUGCAAUGGUAUAGCCAUAUGUGGGUUAAUGGGAACAGGAUAAUUUUCCAUGCCUUUCACUUGAGGUCUUCAGUUUCAUCAUUAAUCAUCUGAAUGUCAGUAUGCCAAACUCUCAUGAUGUCAUGCCAUUACUGGAUAUUCCUUAACACUGGUUUAUUUAAACCACACUACCUAUAACAUUGCCAAAUAUUAGACUGAAAAUUUUCAAAUACACAAGAUUUGAAGCAGCAAAAGAAAAGAAUUACAUAUGUAUAACACACAAAAAAGAAGAAAUUAAUUCUCACCUGGCUGAUAUGAACUUUUUACUCCUUUUUAGCUCCCUUUCACUGCAUACCAGCCAAUAACUAGCAGUCAUUAUAUGCAGAUCAGCCAUUGUUAUCAACCUGUGUAUAUAUAUGUUGAAUAAAAUAUGAAUGAAAA